rnacentral:rRNA from 1 species
CUACGGGUCGCUGCAGUGGGGAAUAUUGCACAAUGGGCGCAAGCCUGAUGCAGCCAUGCCGCGUGUAUGAAGAAGGCCUUCGGGUUGUAAAGUACUUUCAGCGGGGAGGAAGGGAGUAAAGUUAAUACCUUUGCUCAUUGACGUUACCCGCAGAAGAAGCACCGGCUAACUCCGUGCCAGCAGCCGCGGUAAUACGGAGGGUGCAAGCGUUAAUCGGAAUUACUGGGCGUAAAGCGCACGCAGGCGGUUUGUUAAGUCAGAUGUGAAAGCCCCGGGCUCAACCUGGGAACUGCAUCUGAUACUGGCAAGCUUGAGUCUCGGAGAGGGGGGUAGAAUUCCAGGUGUAGCGGUGAAAUGCGUAGAGAUCUGGAGGAAUACCGGUGGCGAAGGCGGCCCCCUGGACGAAGACUGACGCUCAGGUGCGAAAGCGUGGGGAGCAAACAGGAUUAGAUACCCUUGUAGUC